rnacentral:misc_RNA from 1 species
UCUCCGUAGGUGAACCUGCGGAGGGAUCAUUACAAGUGACCCCGGUCUUACCACCGGGAUGUCCAUAACCCUUUGUUGUCCGACUCUGUUGCCUCCGGGGCGACCCUGCCUUCGGGCGGGGGCUCCGGGUGGACACUUCAAACUCUUGCGUAACUUUGCAGUCUGAGUAAACUUAAUUAAUAAAUUAAAACUUUUAACAACGGAUCUCUUGGUUCUG